rnacentral:rRNA from 1 species
GCCCUUCCUACGGGGCGCAGCAGGGGCGAAAACUUUACAAUGCGGGCAACCGUGAUAAGGGGACCUCGAGUGCCUGUACAUGCAGGCUGUCUGGGUGUCUAAAACACACCCAAAGAAAGGGCCGGGCAAGACCGGUGCCAGCCGCCGCGGUAAUACCGGCGGCUCGAGUGGUGGCCACUUUUAUUGGGCUUAAAGCGUUCGUAGCUGGGUUGUUAAGUCUCUUGGGAAAUCUGGCAGCUUAACUGUCAGGCGUCUAAGAGAUACUGGCAAUCUAGGAACCGGGAGAGGUGAGGGGUACUUCGGGGGUAGGAGUGAAAUCCUGUAAUCCUCGAGGGACCACCUGUGGCGAAGGCGCCUCACCAGAACGGCUUCGACAGUGAGGGACGAAAGCUGGGGGAGCAAACCGGAUUAGAUACCCGGGUAGUCCCAGCCGUAAACGAUGCGCGUUAGGUGUGUCGAUGACCACGAGUCAUCGAGGUGCCGAAGGGAAACCGUGAAACGCGCCGCCUGGGAAGUACGGUCGCAAGGCUGAAACUUAAAGGAAUUGGCGGGGGAGCAC